rnacentral:rRNA from 1 species
UACGAGUGCGUCGAGCGUUAUCCGGAAUCAUUGGGCGUAAAGGGUGUGUAGGUGGCGAUGUUAGUCUCACGUUAAAUUCUUCGGCUUAACCGGGGCGCUGCGUGGGAAACGGCAUUGCUUGAGGUUGGUAGGGGUCUCUGGAACUCUAAGUGUAGCGGUGAAAUGCGUUGAUAUUUAGGGGAACACCAAAAGCGAAGGCAGGAGACUGGACCAAAUCUGACACUGAAACACGAAGGCGUGGGUAGCGAAUGGG